GCAGUUAUACCAACUUACAAUUUAUUAUUUUUUUAAAAAAUGACAUGAAACACAAGUAAAAAUAAAUACAUCAUAUAAACAACAAAUUGUUCAAAGUCUCUGUUCUGGGAGAUCAGGCGAGCACAUCCCGUUCGACAGAGAGAAGAGGGAAGCACAUGAUCAUGCGUGGGGCCAUCCGACCAACCCACCCUGCUAUCGAGACUCCUCUUUCCAACCACAAAACGACAGGCCACAAACUAAGGCGAUAGUGAAAAAGAAAAGAAAAAAACAGAAAAAGAACCCCAAACCAACAGAAAACCCCAGAUGAGACUCAGCGAUGGAUUCCUUCAGGCUGCCGUGGGUCUGCCGGAGGCUGCAGCUCCGAGCCGGGUGCCACAAGCAGCCGUGUGGUCUGGGAGGCGGCAGGUUGCUCUCCCUCCCUUGCACCGCGUCCCUUCAAAGGGAGCACUUGCUCUGAGUCACCAGGAGCCAUCACCUCACUGUAUCCUAACUGGACUAUGUUCCCUUCUUAACCUCUGCCCCCCACCCCAGCCCUCCCACCCCAAUCCUUCCAAGACUGGAUUAACAAAGUUCACUCCAGUGUGGCGAGAAACACCAGCCACGAAGGUAUUUGCUGUGCUUGUCCCUGUUGGCCUGGAAGCCACCCACAAACCAACAGCAAUUCUCUUGCAUUCACCAAUUUGCUGACAUGAUUAAGCCAAAAUAUACAUUAUUUCUAGCGAAGCUCCCCUGGAAAUCCCAUCCUUUGCUUGCUGGAAUAUCUGCUUUCUGUGAGUACCUGCAUCCACCCCACCCAGGCACCCCAGGGGAGAUCAGUGUGCAGCAGAUCCUGCCCAAACCAUGGGCCAGGCUGGGCUGUGUUGCCCCCUCCCCACAAAGCUUCCCAAUACCCCAAGGGCCGCACCAGUCCACCAAGACUGGGGUACAGCCACAGUCCCUCUCCUUGCCUGGGGUGUCAGGUCCUGCAGCAGUACCCAGCCUUCACCCAACUGCUCCCAGGAGUGGAAACCUCCCACCUAAGGGGAGGGCUGGGUGCCAGCGUGACACCCCCCCCAUGGCCCUGUUCUCAGAGAUCUUCCUUAGUGUCCAAAACCCUCAGCAAGUCCUGCACUGCUGUCCUCAGUGUCACCCGCAGCCCCGCCGCCAUCUAGCAGCUGCUUCCAUCCGGUCAUUGGGAGACAGAAACUCGGCAGCAAAAGUUAACCCGUGCAGGGAAAGCCCCUGAUGCGGGCUCAGGAAAAGCCAGACGGGACCCUCUGCAGCACAACCACCUGCUGAAGAGGAAUAAAACUUGGGGAGGGCAGAUGAGAGGGAGAAGACCCGUGGGAGAGGGGUUUAAGGGCUCAGUGAGGUCCCCCCACUCGGAAAGCCCCACGAUAACCUGCACACCCUCAUGGUUUUGUGGGGUGGAGGAAAUCCUUCCCACCGUGCUGCAGGUGCCUCUGGUUGCCUUGGAGCAGCCCCAGUUGCUGCCAGCCCCCAGUCAGGGUAUCCCUGAUGUCUCUGUGACCACCUCUCAGCCGAGGCUCUGGCCAAAGGCCCCAGCCCCUCGGUAAGGGAGCGCUCGGGGCUGGUGCGGGGGGCAGAGGUGCUGCAUGGCCCC
ensembl:lncRNA